ensembl:snRNA U2 U2 spliceosomal RNA
AUAAAUUAUUUAAUAAAAAUACAAAUCUGUUCUUAUCAGUUUAAUAUCUGAUACGUCCCCCAUCGGGGGACUACAUAUUAAAUGGAUUUUUUUGAACAGGGAGUCGGAAAUGGGGCUUGCUCCGUCCGCUCCACGCAUUGACCCGGUAUUGCAGUACCUCCGGGAACGGUGCAACACUU